AAGGUGGUGUUCUCAGGGUGAGGCCAACCCAUUGCACACCGGGUGGGUUGACCCUUGCGAUUUCCCCAAAUGUGGGAAACUCGACUGUACAAUUUGUGGUGGUGGGGGACUGCGUUCGCGCUGUCCCCUG
rnacentral:snRNA from 1 species